rnacentral:lncRNA from 1 species
CACAUUUAAGUGAUUAGAACCUGUCAUUUUUUGUUGUUGUUUUCAGACUGACACAAAUGACAGGACAAAGAAACAUACAAGGAAAUAAAAUGAAAAUUCAGAACAGAUGUUAGGACACAUUUUUCAUGCUGAAUGUGCAGAGUGGUCAACCAGAGUGAGACCUUAGUGUCUGCAUGUUCCUGGCAUGUCCAACACAGCUACUGCUUUCAAGAGGAGCUCAAGGAGUGUGCAGCUCUUCUGAAUCUGGAUUGCAUGAGGAGCAUAAAGGACCAUUCUGCAUGUCUGCUUUCCAGAUAGAUUGCCAACAGCCUUCCAUUUCUGUUGCACCAAUUGAAUGGGAGUGA